rnacentral:rRNA from 1 species
CCUACGGGAGACAGCAGUGGGGGAUAUUGCACAAUGGGGGGAACCCUGAUGCAGCGACGCCGCGUGGGUGAAGAAGCGCCUCGGCGCGUAAAGCCCUGUCAGCAGGGGAGAAAAUGACGGUACCUGAAGAAGAAGCCCCGGCUAACUACGUGCCAGCAGCCGCGGUAAUACGUAGGGGGCAAGCGUUAUCCGGAUUUACUGGGUGUAAAGGGGGCGCAGACGGCGAUGCAAGCCAGGAGUGAAAGCCCGGGGCCCAACCCCGGGACUGCUCUUGGAACUGCGUGGCUGGAGUGCAGGAGGGGCAGGCGGAAUGCCUGGUGUAGCGGUGAAAUGCGUAGAUAUCAGGAGGAACACCGGUGGCGAAGGCGGCCUGCUGGACUGCAACUGACGUUGAGGCACGAAAGCGUGGGGAGCGAACAGGAUUAGAUACCCCUGUAGUC